rnacentral:rRNA from 1 species
AUUGAACGCUGGCGGAAUGCUUUACACAUGCAAGUCGAACGGCAGCACGGGGGCAACCCUGGUGGCGAGUGGCGAACGGGUGAGUAAUACAUCGGAACGUGCCCAGUCGUGGGGGAUAACGUAGCGAAAGUUACGCUAAUACCGCAUACGAUCUACGGAUGAAAGCGGGGGACCGUAAGGCCUCGCGCGAUUGGAGCGGCCGAUGUCAGAGUAGGUAGUUGGUGAGGUAAAGGCUCGCCAAGCCGACGAUCUGUAGCUGGUCUGAGAGGACGACCAGCCACACUGGGACUGAGACACGGCCCAGACUCCUACGGGAGGCAGCAGUGGGGAAUUUUGGACAAUGGGCGCAAGCCUGAUCCAGCCAUUCCGCGUGCAGGACGAAGGCCUUCGGGUUGUAAACUGCUUUUGUACGGAACGAAAAGGCUCUGGUUAAUACCUGGGGCUCAUGACGGUACCGUAAGAAUAAGCACCGGCUAACUACGUGCCAGCCGCCGCGGUAA